CUGUAUCCCACACGAUAAUAUGCUUAACUGUAAAGCAGAGCUAAGCUCUCGCAGUCAAACCAAACCCUCAAGAAAACGAUACCGUAUCCGUGAUUCUGCUCUGUCUUUAUACUCUUCCUCUCUCAUCUGCUUUCUCUGUAAAUGUCUCUAUACUACUGUAUAUAUUAUGCAUUCUUUUUAUGCACACCAAACCAAAUUCUUGCCUUUCACGGGCUGUUUGGCCUUUUUCUUUGUACCCUUUCUUCUUUGCCUUUUUUUUUUUGGGUGUAUAGGAGCUUCACGUGUACCCUUUUAUUGAACUAUUCGAGGCUUUCUGCCUGUGAUUCUAUUUUGCUUUGAAUUGAGUGUUUUUUGGUGGUAUUUUCAACUCUAUUCUUAUCCAUUUUACUGAUUUUUGGAGAUUUUUUUUUUUAUUCUGGGUCAUAUCAUUGAACUUGAGAUUUUUUUUUAGCUCUAUUUCUUUGCAAUUUAGCCAACUUUAAGGUUGCUGUUUUCUGGGUUUUACUUAAAAGUGAGUGUUUUGAUUCUGUUUACUUGGAUUUGAGUUCAAAGGGUAUUUUACUGUAAUUUGGUUCUUUGACCUGGCUUCUCACUUAAAUUUGUGCUGCCUUUUAAUCUGGGACUUGGUUACAAGGGAUUUUCUUUGAUCACUCAAAUUUGGGUUGUCUUUGAUCUUUCAUUUCAUUGCAGAAAAGCUUGAAAAAAUGAAGGGAUUUUCACUCUUUAAGUUCUUGGUUUUGUUUUUUCUGUCUUUGCUGUGUGGUCUUGGUGUGAGCAAAGAGUGUACAAACACUCCUACUCAGCUCUCAUCUCAUACAUUCCGUUAUGAACUGUUAUCGUCAAAUAAUGAAACAUGGAAGAAAGAAAUGUUUGCACGCUACCAUUUGAUACCAACUGACGAUUCAGCUUGGUCUAAUUUGCUGCCACGAAAGAUAUUGAAAGAAGAAGAUGAGUUUGAUUGGGCAGUGACGUAUAGAAAAAUGAAAAGUCUUCUUGAAUCAUCUGAACAUUUCCUUAAGGAAGUGUCAUUGCAUAAUGUGAGAUUGGAUUCAAGUUCGAUUCAAUGGCGCGCACAGCAAACAAAUUUAGAGUACUUGUUGAUGUUGGAUGUGGAUAGGUUGGUCUGGAGCUUUAGGAAGACUGCUGGAUUGCCUACACCUGGCACAGCAUAUGGUGGCUGGGAGGCCCCGGAUUGUGAGCUUCGGGGUCACUUUGUAGGGCACUACCUGAGUGCGUCAGCACAUAUGUGGGCUAGUACUCAUAAUGAUACUCUCCAAAAGAAAAUGUCUGCAGUGGCUUCUGCUCUAUCUGCCUGUCAGGAAAAAAUAGGCACGGGUUACCUGUCUGCUUUUCCAUCUGAGCUAUUUGAUCGUUUUGAGGCUAUAAAGCCUGUCUGGGCUCCAUAUUACACUAUUCAUAAGAUCUUGGCAGGUCUCUUGGAUCAAUAUACAUUUGCAGAUAAUGUUCAAGCUUUAAAAAUGGUGAAAUGGAUGGUUGAGUAUUUCUACAACCGUGUGCAAAAUGUUGUAACCAAAUAUAGUGUUGAAAGACAUUUUCUUUCACUCAACGAAGAAACUGGGGGUAUGAACGAUGUCCUUUACAGGUUAUACAGCUUAACAGGAGAUCCAAAGCAUUUAAUAUUGGCUCACCUUUUUGACAAGCCAUGCUUCCUUGGCUUACUCGCAGUACAGGCUGAUGAUAUAUCAGGUUUCCAUGCCAAUACACAUAUCCCUAUUGUUAUUGGAUCGCAAAUGCGAUAUGAAGUAACUGGUGAUACACUUUAUAAGGAAAUAGGGACAUUCUUCAUGGACAUUGUUAAUUCUUCUCACAGCUAUGCAACUGGAGGGACGUCAGUUAGCGAGUUCUGGUCAGACCCAAAACGCUUGGCUAGUACACUCUCAUCAGAGAAUGAGGAAUCAUGCACAACUUAUAAUAUGCUCAAGGUCUCCCGUCACCUAUUUCGAUGGACCAAAGAAAUGGCAUAUGCAGAUUAUUAUGAACGAGCUCUGACAAAUGGUGUGUUAGGCAUCCAAAGGGGAACGGAACCUGGAGUCAUGAUUUACAUGCUUCCACAAAAUCCUGGAAGUUCUAAGGCCAGAAGUUACCACGGAUGGGGAACACAGUUUGAUUCUUUCUGGUGCUGCUAUGGAACAGGAAUUGAAUCAUUUUCAAAGCUGGGAGAUUCCAUAUAUUUUGAAGAGGAAGGACAAGUCCCUGGUCUUUAUGUCAUCCAGUAUGUAUCAAGUUCUCUCGAUUGGAAAGCAGGACAAAUUGUGCUCGAUCAGCAAGUUGAUUCUGUUGUUUCUUGGGAUCCUUAUCUUCGAGUGACAUUGACCUUUUCUCCAAACAAGGUAGUGGCCACAAAUAGUUCAUAGUCUUAGUAACAUAGAAGAUAGUAUAGCUCUUUGAACUCGGUACUUGGUAUAAAUAAUUCUUUCCUUAUCCCUCUUUUUGGAUGCAAACAAAAGAGGCAUGAUCAUAUCUCCUGUUAGCUUGUUCUUUCUUUUCUCUUUGUGCAAGAGCUCACUAAUUGUCUGUUAUAACAAGUAUUAAGUUGAACCAGGAAAGGGCAUAACUAGUGCCCUUGUUGAAACUGAUUUCUGCAGGGGACAAGCGAACCAUCUACCUUGAAUUUUCGGAUACCAAUUUGGACAUAUUCCGAUGGUGCCAAGGCAACAUUAAAUGCUCAGAGUUUAUCUGUACCAGCUCCAGGUGUGAAGUACAAUCAUUGUUCUUCCCUGAUUCAUGUGCCAUAUUUUACAUUUUACUACUUUUAUACAGUGGCAUCUUUUAUAUAUAUGUAUGUUUUAGUUUUAUUUCUGGUAAUAAACGAUCAAUAGGGAAGUUCAUUUGGAAUCUUGAACUAUUGAAUCUUUGGAGUGAACCUGGAUUUAUAUUUGAUAUUCUAUGCUUGAGCAGGUAAUUUCUUAUCAAUCACCAGAAAAUGGAGCAGUGGUGAUAAACUUACUCUUCAGUUGCCUAUCAGUUUCAGAACAGAGUCUAUUAAAGAUGACCGGUCUGAGUAUGCUUCUGUUCAGGCGAUACUUUAUGGUCCUUAUCUGCUUGCGGGUCAUACCAUUGGUGACUGGAACAUCAAAUCUGGGUCAGCAGAUUCUCUUUCGGACUGGAUAACUCCAAUUCCUCCCACUUACAAUAAUUAUCUAGUAUCUUUUUCCCAACAAUCUGGAGAUUCAGCUUUUGUGUUAACAAACUCAAACCAAUGGAUUACAAUGGAAGAGUUCCCUAAAUCUGGCACUGAUGCAUCUGUCCAUGCAACUUUUAGACUCAUCUUGAAUGAUUCUUCUUCCUCAAAAUUAUCAACAAUUGAAGAUGCUAUUGGAAAAUAUGUCAUGCUAGAACCAUUUGAUCUACCAGGAAUGCUUUUAGUGCAGCAAGGAAAAGAUGAAGGCCUUACAGUUGCAAAUUCUGAUAAUGGCGAUGGAUCAUCCAUUUUCCGUUUGGUUUCAGGAUUGGAUGGAAAGGAUGGAACUGUAUCCUUGGAGUCGGUAAGCUAUGAUGAUUGCUUUGUGUUUAGUGGUGUGGAUUAUACGUCGGGAAAAAGCUUAAAGCUCAGCUGCAAUUCAGAGUCCUCAGAGAUUCGUCAGGGAGCCAGCUUUGUGAUGAACAAGGGAAUAAGCGAGUAUCAUCCCAUCAGCUUUGUAGCAAAGGGAGGAAAAAGGAAUUUUCUUCUUUCACCAUUAAUGAGCUUCAGAGAUGAAUCCUAUACUAUCUAUUUUAACAUUAACGCUUAACAGCUUGGGAGGAGUUCUUAGAAAGCCUAGUCUAUUCCUAUAGGGCAAUAAAUUACUUUUAUUGUAGUCCACAAAGGCUGCGGCAGUUGCUAUUCCCAUGAUGCAAAUAAAGGCUGCGGCAGUCGCUAUGCCCAUGCAGAUGGUUGAAGUGAUGACAAGAAGAAAUUAGGGAAAACAAGAUCAUGAUCCCAAUCUAGAUCUUCAGGGUAGUUUAUUUAUAUUCUUGGGUGUCAUAUGUGCCCCUCUGAUAUUUCAGGUUCUCAUCAAGAAAUUGACAAAUAUCAUUAUGAAGAACAAGUAGUAUGUAGAGCAACCAAUAUUGGUGUAAUUAAAGAUCACAACAGUC
rnacentral:misc_RNA from 1 species